rnacentral:lncRNA from 1 species
AACAUGGGCAGCUUCCACAUGGUCCAGUACCGGCCGUCAUAGUAUCCAGGUGACUUGUGGUUCUCACGGUAAACAAAGCCUUUCUGCACACACAAAAUGCAGCAAACAAAUCAUCAACCAUCAAAACUCAAAACUUUCUAGCGUCUUCGGAUUGGCGGCAGCACACAAUUCAAAGUACAAUAACUCCUAAAGCUGCACUUUGUAGCUUUUGCCCAUAAGUGCUUAUAGGGUUUCUCACCGCAGAACCAAACAAGGGUUGGAAGUAAAUUUACCUCCAACUCGAUUUCCAAGUAAGAAAUCAACCAUCGAACUUCAAAAUUAUAUGUAUAUGUUUGAAUUGGUGGUGGCACACAUUUCAAAUCACGAUACUUUUAGCCUAUUUGAUUUUGCGGUGAGAAUUCUCAUAAUCAAUUGUAGAGAGAAGCUACAAAUUGUAGCUUCUGAACUUAUCGUGCUUUGAAUUGUGUGACACCACCAAUCAAAAUCUGCUAUUUGUAGCUUCUCGAAGAAGUGAUUAUAGGAUUUAUAAGCGCUAAUAAUUGAAAACUAGAAAGUAAAGAAAAGGUUGGAAGUAAGUUGACCUCUGUCUCAAAUUCCAAGCAAGGAACCCAACCCUUCCUAAGAAGGUAUUCUACUUCCUUUAAGAGUUGCUCUGUGGUGAGUGGUGGAAGGUAUGAAAGAGUCUCGAACUUCUUCUUGCCAAUAGGAGGCCACACCUAGUAGCAUGCAUAAGAUUGAGUUAAGUGGUUAACAAAUUUGUUGCCAAUGACUUUAAUCUCAUUUGGUACAGGUUUGGAAACUCUUCCACAAUUGAUUUUGAAGUCAGAAUCAAUUAUGGAUAAAAGCUUAUGUGAGUAGCUUCUGUGUCAUAAUUGAUUAGAAGGAAAUAGUAGAAGCUGAUUCAAACAUGCUUAUUAUGGGGCAAAAAUAUGUAGCAUUAUGCAUUGUAAUAAAUUUGAGGCAUCUUAUUCUUACCUGCAUGCAUUGUACUCUUCCACCGUUGCUUGCAAUGGAGGUAAUGUCAUUGUUGGCCUUUCUAACUGGGAAGCCAGCCAUGGACUUGAGGCCGGUGAAUGGAGCCACCAUGCUGGCCUGUGCCGGAGAGGCACCUUUAAUGGUGGUGGCGGCGGCUGAGGAGGUGAUCAUAGAGGAAGCCAUUUCUUUCUCCUUUUUUUAGUUCUCUAGUCAGAAAUACUUGCAAGGCUUCUACUCAAACAGGGUAUAUAUUGCCAAAAUGAUAAACAUUGUAGAAUAUGAACCAAAGAAAUCAUAUCAUGAUAAGAGCUUCACGCCGCAGCUAGUUUAGUCCACAAAAUUAUAUCCAAGUUGUAAUAACCCUCGAUCCUCCAAGAACAACGUUUUAGAAUUUUCUUCUCCGAAAAAUUUGCAUGGGGAAAACUCCAAAGGAUAUGUUAAUGGACUCCAAUUUUAAAAUUUGAAACAGAAAGUAGAGAAAUUAGUCUUGCGUUUGAGCCAGAGAUAAGUUAUACCAUAUGAUUUUGACCUUUUAUAUUCAUACAUAGACCUUAGAAAUAUGUGACAUUCACUUUUUUUGAAAUGACUAUUUUAUUUUCACAUUUCUCCUCAAUUUUUUCUUAAUUAGAUUUCCAUUUUCAUAAGUAUUAGUCAAUUAGCCAUAUGAACCUCUUAUCUGUUUUUUUAUCUCACUGCAGUCUUUUCCACAAAUGUUGCUAUCAAAAGGGACCAGUAUUUAAUGCAAUCGUGAUUCACAAAACCCACAACCUCUUAAUGAUUAAUUCAGUCUUAGAAAACUGAUUCUAAUAAAAGGAUGAAUGGUGUAAGUAAUAAAAAUAAGAGCACGUAUAACUUGAUCGUAAGCACAUGUACAAGCAUUUAGUUGUUGAUUGAUUCUGCUCUUAUUAUAUAAGAAUCUAUUUUACUUGAUAAAAAAAAUUUGGAGUUGUUCCAAUGUUUAUUGGUCUAAAAAAAAAGGGUUGUGUGUGCAUAUAUGAGAGGCAUAAAAAAAUAGUGGCUUUUUUGUGCUAAGGAGGGUAGCUAUUUUUUGUCCCAGCAAAACAAAAAAUUAGUAGCUCAAACCCCCCCAAAAGCAAAAAAAUAAAAAAAAUAAAUGGAACCCGCGGGCCAGCCCGCCCCAAAAAGGUGGCGGGGCGGGCUGGCCCAACGGGCUGAGCCCAUAUUGCCAUCCCUAUGAUUAAUGGACUUGAGAUUACUCCCUCCGUUCCAGAAAGUAAGGGUGCACAUGGGCCGGGUCAAUCCAUUGAAACCAUCCAACCGAAUUCGAUCCAAUGAUAAAUAUGCGGGUUGGAUUGGGCAAACGGGUUAAUCAAAUGAAUUUUAUUACGAUCUAAUCGUCUUUGGAUCGGAUAUCGAAUACCAUAAUAAUUCAUCCAACCCAAUCCGAAAUCCAAUCAUAUGAUAAUAAUAUAUUAUUUAAUAUAUAUUCUUAAUAAUUUUAACUUUAACCUAACAUACUAGUAGGGUAUGUAAUUUAUAGAGACUCUGAGUCCUUCUACUAGAGUAAUUUUUAGGAGACUUGGAGACUAAUUUGUUUGUAAUUACUUCAUAUUUAAAGACUUGAAGUACUUGUUUAGUUAUGUGUUGUUGUAUAGAUGCGUGUAGACCGUAGUUAUGAACUUAUGAUGUAAUUGCAUGUUAGAGACUUGGACUACUUGUUUUUUUUUUAAUAUUUUUCAAUAUUCCGGAUUUAUUUUUAUUUUAAUAUUGCGAUCUAAUCAAUCCAUCCAAACCAACCCGAAGAUUGUCGAAUUGGGUUGGUUCGGAUUCGUAGGUGAAAAUGCAUGAAAUCCAACCCAACCCAACCCAAACAGUUUUGAUCGGUUCAAAUCCUGAUUAGCCUGAAAAUCCAUCCAAACCCAACCCAUGUGCAGCCCUACCAGAAAGUUUGUAGUUUUGGGCAUGAUUUUAAUAUCCCAAAUAGUUUGUUGUUUUAGGAUGUCAAUGCAUUUUUCCCCAUUUUUUUCCACUUAUACCCUCAUUUAAUACAUUUUCUCUCACUUAUCACCUUUAAUAUUAACCAACCACAACUCUUCUCUAUUAAUUACAUUCUUCUAUAUCUAAGUAUAAUUUAAUAGUUGCACAUCAUACUAGUAAAAUUAACCAACCACAACUCUUCUCUUUGUGCCACAACCUUAAACUACAAACUUUAUGGAACAAAGGGAGUAAUAAUUAUCAACCGAUGAUCAGAUUCUUACAAAGAUUGAGUUUUGAUGGAUAAAGAAAAUAUGUUUUAUUUUUAAAAAAGAUAGCUACUCUCUCCGUUUCAAUAUAAGUGGCCAGAAAUAAAAGAAACCUGCACAUUAAUAAAUACAAUUAUUAUUGUUAACUUUUAAAAAUAAAUUAUUUGUUUUCCUUUAAGAUAAAUUGCACCCGCAGGAAUCGAUCACUGGAUCUCCCCCAUCUCCUACCACUUGAUCUAUCUUAUGGAGACAAAUAUUUUUACUCUAAGUGAUCACUUAUAUUGAAACAGAAAGAGUAUUUAAUUGUAUUUGGAUCUAUGUUGAAUUUGGUUUAAAACUACUACAAUUAUGAUUUGUAAAUUGUAAGUAGCAUAAAGGAAAGUGAAGAAAUGCCUCCAACAAAAGGCUUUACUGGACUUUAGCUUUGCUAAUAAAUCUAUCAAAUGUAUAGCAAAUUUGUCAGAGCAUCAUCAUCCAUACAUCAAGAGACUCGCUAAUUUGAAUUGUAUAAUUACAAUUCUCCAUAAUGACACAUCAUUUACAUUAUUUUAAACAAUUCUACUAACUUUUUACUUCAACUCAAUAAUUUUAAAAUAUUUCUCAAAUGUACCUCACAAUCUACCUCGUUUUAUAUAUUAUUAAUUAUCUUUAUUUAAUCAUUUCAUUCAUCACAUAAAACAAAAUGGUGCUUGUUGCGGUACCUUGAGCCAGAUCAAGGCGUGGUACCUAAAAUGUCAUAAACCAAUAGAAAAUAUACAAUUUAAACUUAGAGGAAGAGGAUAAAGGAGGAUUUUGAGGUUUAAUAUGGGCGGAGAAUGAAGGAAGAAUGCAGCCCUACCAGAAAGUUUGUAGUUUUGGGCAUGUUUUUAAUAUUCUAAAUAGUUUGUUGUUUUAGGAUGUCAAUGCAUUUUUCCCCAUUUUUUUCCACUUAUACCCUCAUUUAAUACAUUUUCUCUCACUUAUCACCUUUAAUAUUAACCAACCACAACUCUUCUCUAUUAAUUACAUUCUUCUAUAUCUAAGUAUAAUUUAAUAGUUGCACAUCAUACUAGUAAAAUUAACCAACCACAACUCUUCUCUUUGUGCCACAACCUUAAACUACAAACUUUAUGGAACAAAGGGAGUAAUAAUUAUCAACCGAUGAUCAGAUUCUUACAAAGAUUGAGUUUUGAUGGAUAAAGAAAAUAUGUUUUAUUUUUAAAAAAGAUAGCUACUCUCUCCGUUUCAAUAUAAGUGGCCAGAAAUAAAAGAAACCUGCACAUUAAUAAAUACAAUUAUUAUUGUUAACUUUUAAAAAUAAAUUAUUUGUUUUCCUUUAAGAUAAAUUGCACCCGCAGGAAUCGAUCACUGGAUCUCCCCCAUCUCCUACCACUUGAUCUAUCUUAUGGAGACAAAUAUUUUUACUCUAAGUGAUCACUUAUAUUGAAACAGAAAGAGUAUUUAAUUGUAUUUGGAUCUAUGUUGAAUUUGGUUUAAAACUACUACAAUUAUGAUUUGUAAAUUGUAAGUAGCAUAAAGGAAAGUGAAGAAAUGCCUCCAACAAAAGGCUUUACUGGACUUUAGCUUUGCUAAUAAAUCUAUCAAAUGUAUAGCAAAUUUGUCAGAGCAUCAUCAUCCAUACAUCAAGAGACUCGCUAAUUUGAAUUGUAUAAUUACAAUUCUCCAUAAUGACACAUCAUUUACAUUAUUUUAAACAAUUCUACUAACUUUUUACUUCAACUCAAUAAUUUUAAAAUAUUUCUCAAAUGUACCUCACAAUCUACCUCGUUUUAUAUAUUAUUAAUUAUCUUUAUUUAAUCAUUUCAUUCAUCACAUAAAACAAAAUGGUGCUUGUUGCGGUACCUUGAGCCAGAUCAAGGCGUGGUACCUAAAAUGUCAUAAACCAAUAGAAAAUAUACAAUUUAAACUUAGAGGAAGAGGAUAAAGGAGGAUUUUGAGGUUUAAUAUGGGCGGAGAAUGAAGGAAGAAGAUCUAUGUUGCACGGAUACGGGUACGGUACCGGUACCGUGUACGGGUACGUGUACGGGGUAUGCCAGUUAUUAUAUAUAUAUAUAUUUAAAUAAAAAAUAUAUAUAUAAAAAAUAGAAAUAAAAUGUUUUCUACACAAUAUUAUUAAUUAAAAAUAAAAUACUCGUAUUUCUUGGCCAAUACUCAUAUCAAAGUCCAACAUGAUGGGAAGAAGAAGAACGUGAGCGACCCUCUCUCUUCAUCUUCAUAGCAGCUGUAUGUUAAAAAGAGUGAAAGGUAAAUUAGGUUUUGGUCUUUUAAAUAAAUUGAGAAUAAUUUUUAAAAUUAAAUAAAAAACUACAAAACGACAUAGUUUAGAACAUUUUUCAUUUUAAAAAAAAAAACUUAUCCGACGUGCCCACGGUGUACCAAAAACGUACCCAGCUUUUUUUGUUUGGCGAUGCAUUUGGGUACGUACCCACGGCGUACCCACUGCGUACCCGUACCCGGUAUCGGUACUCUACCAAUUUUGGCGUACCCGUCCAACAUAGAAGAAGAUCCUCAAAUGAAAGAAAUUUUUAUGACCUUUCAGAAUUGCAAGUUGAACUAAAAACUCUAAUUUUCAAGUUGUGCAUUUCAUAACAUAAACAAAUUUAAGAACUAUAUGUUAUUAAUUCAUUUAAGUGGAUCAUUGAACUUUUUAAAAUUGCAAUAAUAUAUUAUUUCGCCUUUUUCCAACAAAAUUGUAACUUAAAAUAUUAUAUGGGGUACCACACAAAAAAAAAUCCGGGUACCACAGAAUUCACCAAACAAAACAAACAAAAGGUAAAUUGGGUCUCACAAUAGCAACGCUUUGGGAGUUACUGCGUUAAACAACUCUUCCUAUGACUUGACAACUCUUGGUAGGUGAGUUGCUAACAUAGUUGCAUGUCAAAGAAGAACCCAAAAAAAUCUCCCGUUGUUGAUCCUCUCAAGCAAAUGCAAAAGUGCAAAAGUUGUAAAGAUUAUUUGUUAAAAAACCAACACAUGGCUCAGUUGGUUAACACACACUACUUCUUCUUCGAAGGUUGUUCGUUCAUUUCUCACUACUGGUGUGAGGGUUGUGUAGGUGAGCGAUCUAUAAACAACUUUGUAAAAAACCUAUGAUUCCGAAGACAUACCCUAGUCCAUGAUAGUGACAAAAAAUAAACACGCUUAAACUUUCAUUCAGCAAUAAAAGAAAGAAAGAAAAAAAAAACAGAAGCUCUGCAAAUAUAUUUGUUACCAAGGUAGCAUGACUUUCUAUUUGGUAUAUGAAAGUUAAGUAGCUUCAUGGCCAAAAGAUACAGUUGAAGUCUCAUGAUGUUGGUUUAAAAGCUUAUCAAGGGGUCAAAAUGAAUAAUUAUAUCUUCACACCUCAUUUUGAGGUGUGGAAAGGUGGAGGAAGAGAAAAAUAGGAAGAAAAGAGAGAGAAAGUAAAGAUGUGAUAUGUGAUUUGAUUGAUAGAAAAAUGAGAAAUAUAUAGUAAUGAAUGUGGAAAAAAAGUGGAGAAGUGUGUAUAUAUGAUAACUCGGUAUAAAGUUAUAACUACUAGAUACUAGCUAGCGACCAACACUUCAAAAGACUGAUAGGAAACUGUGUGAACUUAAUAUAUCCUUAUUUAUAAGCAUUUUGCUCCAUUUUGUGUGUGCAGAAAGGCUAAAAAUAUACAAAAUAUUAAAGGGAGGUAUUUGGCUGUUAUAUUUAUCUGUCACUUUACCACAAUAUCAUACCAUAAGUUCAUUUCUUUGUAAAACAUUCCAUAAAUUUCAAUCCACUGGAAGGACAACCACAGAUAAUGAGUUAUUAAGAAAUUUGGGAACAAAGCAAUUAUUCAUUCAAGUGCUCUUAUCCAUUCAUUUGCCUAUGCAAAUUUGCAAAUGUGAAACUCAAACAAAAAAUGCCAAAAUAUAGGAUGGCAUUUCUCUUGUAAAAAGAAAAAGAAAAAACUGAACACAUGGGAAGAAGGGGGAGGCUACAAAUGCCUUUUUGUAUGUAGAUUUCAAACUUAGUAGCCUGCUGGUCUGUGUGCAAUGAAACUGAUGCACUGCACUUGGCGAACAUUGUCGAAUCCAAUGAUGCGCACAAAAGCGUUGGGGUAUGCCUUCACAGCCUCAUCAAGUUCCUUCAACACCUGGGUAGCAUCACUGCACCCAAACAUGGGGAGCUUCCACAUGGUCCAGUAGCGUCCGUCAUAGUAUCCAGGUGACUUGUGGUUCUCACGGUAGACAAAGCCUUUCUGCACACACAAAAUGCAGCAAACAGUUCAUCAACCAUCAAAACUCAAAAUUAUUGAUAACUCCAGAAGCUGCACUUUGUAGCUUCUGUCCAGAAGAGAUUAUGAGACUUCUCACCACAGAACCAAACAACUGAAACAAGGGCUGGAGGUAAAUUUACCUCCAACUCGAAUUCCAAGCAAGAAAUCAACCAUCAAACUUCAAAAUUAUAUGCAUAUGUUUGAAUUGGUGGUGACACACAUUUCAAAUCACCAUACUUUUAGCUUGUUCGAUUAUGCAGUGAGAAGUCUCAUAGUCAAUUGCAGAGAGAAGCUACAAAGUGUUGCUUCUGAACUUGAGCUUUGAAUUGUGUGACACCACCAAUCCAAAUCUACUAUUUGUAGCUUCUCUGGGGAAGUGAUUAUAGGACUUCCUACCACAUAACUAUAAGCCUAAUAAUGAAACACUAGAAAGUAAAGAACCAAAGGGUUGGAAGUAAAUUGACCUCUGUCUCGAAUUCCAAGCAAGGAACCCAACCCUUCCUAAGAAGGUAUUCUACUUCCUUUAAGAGUUGCUCUGUGGUGAGUGGUGGAAGGUAUGAAAGAGUCUCGAACUUCUUCUUGCCAACAGGAGGCCACACCUAGUAGCAUGCAUAAGAUUGAGUAAAUUGGUUAACAAAUUUGUCGUCAAGGACUUUAAUACUAUCAUUUAGUACAUGUUUCAAAUCUCUUCCGCAAUUAUGGGAAGAAACUUACGUGAGUGUCUUCUUUGUCAGAAUUGGUUAGAAUGGAAUAGCUAGAAGCUGUGGUACAAAAAUUUGUAGCAUUGUAAUCAUUUUGAGGCAUCUUACCUGCAUGCAUUGUACUCUUCCACCGUUGUUUGCAAUGGAGGUAAUGUCAUUGUUUGUCUUUCUAACUGGGAAGCCAGCCAUGGACUUGAGGCCAGUGAAUGGAGCCACCAUGCUGGCCUGUGCCGGAGAGGCACCUUUAAUGGUGGUGGCGGCAGCUGAGGAGGUGAUCAUAGAGGAAGCCAUUUUUUCUCCUUUUUCAGUUCUCUAGUCAGAAAUACUUGCAAAGCUUCUACUCAAACAGGGUAUAUAUAUUGCCGAAAUGAUAAACAUUGUAGAAUAUGAACCAAAGAAAUCAUAUCAUGAUAAGAGCUUGACGCCACAGCCAGUGUAGUCCACAAAAUUAUAUCUGGGUUGUAAUAAUCCUCCCCCAAGAACAACUUUUUAGAAUUUUCUUCAGGGAAAAACUCAAAAGGAUAUGUUAAUGGACCCGAAUUUUAAAAUUUGAAACAGAAACUUGAGAAAUUAGCCUUGGGUUUGAGUCAGGGAAAAGUUAUACUCCCUCCGUUCCUUAUUAUAAGGCCAUUUUUUAGAGUUUUUUUUGUUCCUAAAUAUAAGUCCAUUUCAAAUAUUUAGGUAGCAUUGAUUAGUUUUUUCCAAACUUACCCUUACAUUUAAAACUUAAUAUUUCAGUUUUUCAUAUUUUAGUCUAUUUCCAAUGCCACUAUCAUUCACUAACCUUAACUCUACAAAUUCAAGUUUUUCAUCUAUUGGAUUACUUAGUGGACUACAAGAGUAUUAAUUAAAUGCAUUAUAUGGAGUACAAUUCUAGAGAUAGUGGGAUAUUAAUUUGGACUGAGAAUUAGUAAUUGAAGUGUUUAUAAGUAAGAAUAAUUUAGUAAAGUUAAUUAAAAAGUCUUACAAAUUUAUUGCACUUAACUAACUUUAACCACUUUUCUUAAUCCUAGAUAUUUAGGUAAAAUAGACUUAUAAUAAGGAACGGAGGGAGUACCAUAUAACAUAUUUUAACCUUUUAUGUUUGAAACAUUGCGUGUCAAGCUGAGAGUCCUAUUUCAGCUAACGUGGCCACAAGAUUCAAUAGCAUCUCUAUUGGCUUAAAGGUUUUGCAACCAAGCAAGUACCACGAUGGCGGCUAAGAUGACUUAGUUGUGGAACAUUCUGUCCUGACGUAGAUCGAGCGGAUUUUUCCGACUUAUUAAGUACAUUGCAAGGUUACUCAAAGGUAAUCAUCAUCCUGGAAGACUUUCCUUGAGGCUUCCUAAAGACUUCAAGUCACAAAUACGUUGGUUACCGAGCCUAGAAGUACAAGUUUAGUUGUUUCGCUAAGCAUUAUUCAUUAUGAAAACUUUGAGUUCUUAGACUAUGAAAUUCUUUUUUUUUUUUUUGCUCUUUCACUAACUUGAGCGACAGAGUGCCUUCUGCAAGUACACCCCCGCCGUGUCAAUGCUCUACCAUGCUAGAGAAGCCUUCUCAGAUCGCGCACCACCACCGAAGACAAAGUAGAACCACCAAUCUCAAUUCAUGAAUAAUAGAUAUGAAAUUGAAACUUAGGCGAUUAGGGAAUGUAAUAUUGUAGACAAAGGCGUAAAGAAUUAAAAGUUGACACACUUUUUUACUGAUGAAACACUUCAUCCCUAACAAAGAGAGUUUUUUCAUUCAAUCUAGUCAAAUUACUGACAACCUUGACCCUCAGUAAUUUACCGAUGAAAAAGUCGUUGGUACAUUUCCGACGAUCUUAGUCGUCGUAGACAUACUAACAUAAGUGGUCGUCAGUAACUUCCACUACAAGAAUAUGAUUGUAUUGCUCUUGUUAGAGUUUGAUUAAUCUAAAUUUAUAAGUUUCGUUUAGCUUGACUAAUACUCUAAUCUUAUUACUUUUUGAAACAAAAGAAAGAUACACAAUACUUUUUCUUGCAAUGACUAUUUUUUAUUUGGUGAAUUUUGUGGUACCCAAAAAUUAUUUUGGGUAUGAUACCCGCAUUAAGUGAUUUAGUAGAUUAUUGUCAUGUGAAAUAGGAUUUUAACCGUCAAGGUUUAUUGAUGAUAGAGAUGACGACAUCUGGAGAUCGUGACCGUGAAUGAUUGUACUCAGCACCUUUGUUUUGAACAGAUUUUUGGCGAUACAGGGGAGAAGAAGGGUUGUGAACUGUCUAGAGGAUUACUUUGCAAAUAAUGAUAAGAAUAUUAACAUUUAAAAUUUAGAGCAUAUUUUUUUUAUUAGUACACAUCAUUUAGAGUAUGUGUGAUUCAAUUAGAACAUGUCUCUUAUUGAUACACAUCAUUUUAGGUACCAUACCUUGAUCUAGAUUAAGGUAUGAUAGCAAGCCCUUUAAGUCCAUACCUUUUUAUUUUCUCAUUUCUUCCCCAAUUUUUCGUAAUUAGAUUUCCAUUUUCUGAAGUAUUUAGUCAAGUAGCAACAUGAACCUCUUAUCUGUUUCUUUAUCUCCCUGCGGUCUUUUCCACAAAUGUUGCUAUCUAAAGGGAACAGUAUUUAAUGCAACCUUAAAGGCUAAGUUGAGCUGUUAUUUAUCAUGAUUCACAAAUCCCACAACCGCUACUGAUUAACCAAUUAGCAAUUCAUCACAAAAUUGACUAUUUUGGAGGAAAUAACAUUUCUCUAUCACAAAAAUGACCUCAGACUAAUUAUGAGCCAAUGAUCCGAUUCUAACAAAGAUUAGGGUUUUGAUGGUUCAAAAAAAUGUUGCAUAUUUUUUAUACAAAAACUUAAGGCAGGGGAUGUUGACUCAGUUCAAGAUUGAGAAAGUUGUUGGGCACGAUACGCAUAUAGAGAAGACUUACAUUUAACUCGCCUCAAGGGGAUGAAGGAAGGCUCGAACUUGCACCAUACCAAAUAUGUGUCCCUGUUUUGCUCCACUCGACCAACCCCUUGCGUUUGAAUUUGUUUUAUUUUGAUAGUAAGAGAGCUUGAUAAAAUCCAAUUAAUUAUAUUGGCUUUAUGUUGAAUUUGGAUUCGUUUAACCUUCAGAAGUAGAAUGUAAGUAGCAGAAAGGAGAGUGAAGAAAUGCCUCCAAUAAAAACCUAUACUGGUCUGUAGCAUGUGUUUUGUUAUCUUUGCAUCUGUGCUAAUAAGUCAAUCAAAGGUAUAGCAAAUUGGUCAGGUAAAUAUAGAGUGCAAAAGUUGUAAAAGUUAUUUGUAACAGAAGCUCGGCAAACAUAUUUGUUACCAAGGAUACCAUGAUUUUCUAUUUGGUAUUUGAAAGUUUCGUAGCUUCAUGGCCAACAGAAGUACAGACUGUACAGUUCAAGUAUACUUCAUGUUGGGUUAAAACUUAAAAGCCUUUUGAACUUCAACGGACAGAUAAGAAGCUAUUUGAACUUACAUGUCCUUAUUUGUAAGCAUUUUGCUCCAUUGUGUUGGACUUACAACUUCCUUACAUUCUUAAACAAAAUACCAUUUUGUAUUUGAAGUGGGCAUGGAGAUAAACACUUCAAAGAUUCAUGGUAACAUAAACGGACUUUCAUUCCUAUCCUAAGAAGAGUUCCGUUUACAUUUUAUCUUAAAGUGAAAUAUCCAUUUUCACUAAUACAAACGGAUAACCAAAUACAUCAUAGCUCGUUUAUGCAUUGGUCAUAGACAUUCUGACUCUGCAAUGACAUUAUUAGUAUACACAACAAUUCAGAACAUCGAUUUAUACAUUUUUUUAAAGGGAGGUGUGAGGCUGUUCCUUUCUGUCACUUUACCUUAAUAUCAUACAUAAGGACAACCAUUUAGUUCAUUUAUUUAUAAAACAUUGCAUAAAUUUCAAACUAGAAGGACAACCACAGAUAAUGGGUUCUUGAGAAAUUUGGGAACAAUGAAAUUGCUCAGUCAAGAGCUCUUAUCCAUUCAUUUGCAUAUGCAAAUUGAAACUCAAAUAAAAAAUGCCAAAAUAUAGGAUGGCAUUUCUCUUGAAAAAAGAAAAAGAAAAAACUGAACACAUGGGAAGAAGGGGAGGCUACAAAUGCCUUUUUGUAUGUAGAUUUCAAACUUAGUAGCCUGCUGGUCUGUGUGCAAUGAAACUGAUGCACUGCACUUGGCGAACAUUGUCGAAUCCAAUGAUGCGCACAAAAGCGUUGGGGUAUGCCUUCACAGCCUCAUCAAGUUCCUUCAACACCUGGGUAGCAUCACUGCAUCCAAACAUGGGGAGCUUCCACAUGGUCCAGUAGCGUCCGUCAUAGUAUCCAGGUGACUUGUGGUUCUCACGGUAGACAAAGCCUUUCUGCACACACAAAAUGCAGCAACAGAUCAUCAAUCAUCAAAGCUAAAAGUUUAAUUAACAUGUUUGGAUCGGUACCGAUACACAAUUCUAAGCACGGUAACUCGAGAAGCUACACUUUGUGGAGUUUCCUACCGCAAAACCAAACAAGGGUUGGAAGUAAAUUCACCUCCAACUCAAAUUACAAGUAAGGAGUCAACCAUCAAAGCUCAAAAUUAUAUGGAUAUCACGUUUGAAUUGGUGGCGGCACACAGUUCAAAAUAUGAUACUUUUAGCGUGUUUAAUUCUGCGGUAAGGAGUCUCAUAAGUCAUAAUCAAUUAUAGGGAGAAGUUACAAAGUGUAGCUUCUGAACUUAUCUUGUUUUGGAUUGUGUGCCGCUAUCAAUCCAUACUUGCUACUUAUAGCUUCUCGCCUUCUCCUAAAACCAUGCUAAUAAUGAAAACCUACAAAGUAAAGAACAAAAGGGUUGGAAAAGAAUUGACCUCUGUCUCAAACUCCAAGCAAGGAACCCACCCCUUCCUGAGAAGGUAUUCUACUUCCUUUAAGAGUUGCUCUGUGGUGAGUGGUGGAAGGUAUGAAAGAGUCUCGAACUUCUUCUUGCCAAUAGGAGGCCACACCUAGUAGUAUGCAUAAGAUCAAGUAAAGGGGUUAACAAGUUUGUACUUAUUUUCAUUUGCAAAUGACUAUAAUGUCAUUUAGUACAUGUUUGGUAACUCUUCCACUAUUGAUUCUGAAGUCAGAAUCAAUUAUGGGAAGAAGCUUAUGUAAGUAGCUUCUAUGUGUCAGGAUUUAUUAUGAGGAAAUAGAAG